GUGCUCGCUUCGGAAGUAUAUACACUAAAAUUGGAACGAUACAGAGAAGAUUAG
rnacentral:sRNA from 1 species